rnacentral:ncRNA from 1 species
UACCUGGUUGAUCCUGCCAGUAGUCAUAUGCUUGUCUCAAAGAUUAAGCCAUGCAAGUCUAAGUACGAGCUCUCGUACAGUGAAACUGCGAAUGGCUCAUUAAAUCAGUUAUGGUUCAUUUGAUCGUACAGUUUACUUGGAUAACUGUGGUAAUUCUAGAGCUAAUACAUGCGAGAAGCGCCGACCUCGCGGGAGGCGUGCAUUUAUCAGACCAAAAACCGGCCGCGUCUUCGGGCGCGUUCGCCUUGGUGACUCUGGAUAACUUUGCGGAUCGCACGGUCUAGCACCGGCGACGGAUCAUUCAAGUGUCUGCCCUAUCAACUUUCGUCGGUACGGUAUUUGCCUACCGAGGUUCUUACGGGUGACGGGGAAUCAGGGUUCGAUUCCGGAGAGGGAGCCUGAGAAACGGCUACCACAUCCAAGGAAGGCAGCAGGCGCGCAAAUUACCCAUUCCCGACGCGGGGAGGUAGUGACGAAAAAUAACAAUGCAGGACUCGUUCGAGGCCCUGUAAUUGGAAUGAGUACACUUUAAAAGCUUUAACGAGUAUCCAUUGGAGGGCAAGUCUGGUGCCAGCAGCCGCGGUAAUUCCAGCUCCAAAGUAUAUAUUUAAGUUGUUGCGG